CAGAGAGGCGGAGAAACGAGGUCGGAAAACAGAUUUAAGCCAAGUUUGACGAAUUGCCUCUGUUUGCUGGUACUGUUAGAAAACGUGUUUGUUACGGAGGCCUGGAUGCUAAAACAAACUCUGGAGUUGCUUUUUGUCGAACACGAUUGAGAGUGGACAACACACUUCCGGCGCAAAGGUGUCACCACCUCACCACAUCAUCAUCCAUGCUUCGUAGAGACCUGCACAAGAAUCGGCAGAGAGAGGGGUCACUGAUUCGACAGCAUUGCAUGCGAUCAGGGACAUUGUCGAUGAUCAUAGAGACACCGUCCACGAUCUUCGUAAAAUGAAAAAGUUCUUUGAGACCAGGACAGAGGCUUCCAGCUGAAUUCACAAAAACAACAGGAGCCACCAAUGGUGAAGGAGGAUGAGGAGAAAACCACAUCACCUGAAGAGGACAACAAAAGUAGUUAAAUGUUUUUAGAGAUUAAUACGUUUUUCAUAAGCAUAACCAUGUGUGCUCAGCAUUGCAUUAAAUGUGAGGUGAGGGAAUAAAACAAAAGUGUCUCCAAAUGGUCAAACAUCUAUCAUUGUCUUUGUUGUACGUUGUCGAGAACAGAAUCAAUAAAGUUUUGUAACUUAAGUUUUGUACCUCUAUUUUUGUAUUAAUAUCAUAAAACUGAUAUGUUAGGGUUAGGGUUGGGGUUACGGUUAUUGUUACUGUAAC